AUACGUAGGUGGCAAGCGUUGUCCGGAAUUAUUGGGCGUAAAGCGCAUGUAGGCGGUGCCUUAAGUCUGUCGUGAAACUGCGGGGCCUAACCCCGUAUGGCGAUGGAAACUGUGGCACUUGAGUGCAGGAGCGGCAAGGUGAACUCCCCGUGUAGCGGGGAAAUGCGUAGAUAUUGGGAAGAGCACCGGUGGCGAAGGCGCCUUUCUGGACUGUGUCUGACGCUGAGAUGCGAAAGCCAGGGUAGCGAACGGGAUUAGAUACCCCGGUAGUCCUGGCCGUAAACGAUGGGUACUAGGUGUGGGAGGUAUCGACCCCUUCCGUGCCGGAGUUAACGCAAUAAGUCCCCCGCCUGGGGAGUACGGCCGCAAGGCUUAAACUCAAAUGAAUUGACGGGG
rnacentral:rRNA from 1 species